rnacentral:rRNA from 1 species
ACGAACGCUGGCGGCGUGCUUAACACAUGCAAGUCGAACGGAAAGGCCCUGCUUUUGUGGGGUGCUCGAGUGGCGAACGGGUGAGUAACACGUGAGUAACCUGCCCUUGACUUUGGGAUAACUUCAGGAAACUGGGGCUAAUACCGGAUAGGAGCUCCUGCUGCAUGGUGGGGGUUGGAAAGUUUCGGCGGUUGGGGAUGGACUCGCGGCUUAUCAGCUUGUUGGUGGGGUAGUGGCUUACCAAGGCUUUGACGGGUAGCCGGCCUGAGAGGGUGACCGGCCACAUUGGGACUGAGAUACGGCCCAGACUCCUACGGGAGGCAGCAGUGGGGAAUAUGGCACAAGGGGCGGAAGCCUGAUGCAGCAACGCCGCGUGCGGGAUGACGGCCUUCGGGUUGUAAACCGCUUUCGCCUGUGACGAAGCGUGAGUGACGGUAAUGGGUAAAGAAGCACCGGCUAACUACGU